CCAAUAGCGUAUAUUAAAGUUGUUGCAGUUAAAAAGCUCGUAGUUGAAUUUCGAGAUCAAAUUGUUGGUCGUGCCUCGGUACGUACUGGCAUUAUUGAUUUCUCCUUUCUGAAGAACCUUGAUGUCAUUAAUUUGGUGUCUUGGGGAAUUAGGACCGUUACUUUGAAAAAAUUAGAGUGUUUAAAGCAGGCUCACGCUUGAAUACAUUAGCAUGGAAUAAUGAAAUAGGACGUUUGAUUCUAUUUUGUUGGUUUCUAGGAUCGACGUAAUGAUUAAUAGGGAUAGUUGGGGGCAUUAGUAUUCAAUUGUCAGAGGUGAAAUUCUUGGAUUUAUUGAAGACUAACUACUGCGAAAGCAUUUGCCAAGGAUGUUUUCAUUAAUCAAGAACGAAAGUUAGGGGAUCGAAGACGAUCAGAUACCGUCGUAGUCUUAACCAUAAACUAUGCCGACUAGGGAUCGGAUGAUGUUAAUUUUUUAAUGACUCAUUCGGCGCCUUACG
rnacentral:rRNA from 1 species